AAUAGAUACCCUGGUAGUCCACGCCGUAAACGUUGGGCACUAGGUGUGGGACCCUAUCGACGGGUUCCGUGCCGUAGCUAACGCAUUAAGUGCCCCGCCUGGGGAGUACGGCCGCAAGGCUAAAACUCAAAGGAAUUGACGGGGGCCCGCACAAGCGGCGGAGCAUGUUGCUUAAUUCGAUGCAACGCGAAGAACCUUACCUAGGCUUGACAUGCAGGGAAAAGCCGUAGAGAUACGGUGUCCUUCGGGGCCCUGCACAGGUGGUGCAUGGUUGUCGUCAGCUCGUGUCGUGAGAUGUUGGGUUAAGUCCCGCAACGAGCGCAACCCUUGUCCUAUGUUGCCAGCGGGUAAUGCCGGGGACUCGUAGGAGACUGCCGGGGUCAACUCGGAGGAAGGUGGGGAUGACGUCAAAUCAUCAUGCCCCUUACGUCUAGGGCUGCAAACAUGCUACAAUGGCCGGUACAAAGGGCUGCUAUUCCGCGAGGAUGAGCGAAUCCCAAAAAGCCGGUCUCAGUUCGGAUCGGAGUCUGCAACUCGACUCCGU
rnacentral:rRNA from 1 species